rnacentral:misc_RNA from 1 species
CCUACUCCAGUAUCGAUGACAACGUUCUGCGCAUAUAAUGGUGAGCCACGUCGUUUCUGUUCCUCCGAUCACUCAAUCAUGUCAUAGGAUGAAAGGUCCAAAUCAACACGGAUGACUGGUUGUGUUACGUAGAAUUGUUGGCGAGCAUAAUGACCACAAGUAUUUAUCAUACUCAUCAUUUGAGAUAGAUAAAAGAGGUGCAUAAAGAAGAUUCUAUGCCAUUAGAAUGUCGAAGAGAAGGUUAGGAAGAUGAAAAGUUGGAAAGAAAGGGGAAGGAAGGGGAGGAAAGCGUUAGAGGAAAAACCAUAGUGAGGAGUGAAAGAGUAUUCGAAUUUUGUAUAAUAUUCUAUACAAUAUCCUAUUACUUUGUUGUGAUUACGAAUUUAUAUAAAGACAGAGGCCAUCUAGAUGGAACGUGGUUAGGAAAGGACAUUGUUUUUCUACCAUAAAUCGAUAAUGUUAGAAAUGAUACUAAAAUGAUAUUGGUUAGCGCUGGAAUCUGUUGGAAUCUGUUGGGUAAAAAUUGUAUUGGAUGAUAGAUGUGUUCACUAAAUAUCAUGUAUACCAAAUAUCUUCUGUAGAUAUCUAAGGAAUUGAUUAAAUUAUUCUUGUAAAGUAUAAAUAGGUAAGAUUCUUCUAACCUACUAUUGGUAAUGAUACUUUCUAC